AACAAACCACGCGGGAGCGCGCACCGAGCGCGCUGAGAGGACGGGUAGGCCCGUCGACCGUAAGAACCUGACCGGGUAAUGCCGGCGUAGGGAGAUUUUUCAUGAGCAGU
rfam:Mycobacterium mageritense, CIP 104973, WGS project CCBF01000000 data, contig: 000001